AUUUGGAAUAAACUGAAGAGAUUUUUGGGUGACCCUCAUUUUUAUUACUUUCUUCCCACUUGAUUUUAACACAUCCAUACAGUACAUCAGAUCCGAAUCACUCAUUAUUAAUAUCCACUCAUCUUCGUGAUCUU